GAUGAAGAACACAGCGAAAUGCGAUAAGUAAUGUGAAUUGCAGAAUUCAGUGAAUCAUCGAAUCUUUGAACGCACAUUGCGCCCAUUAGCAUUCUAGUGGGCAUGCCUGUUCGAGCGUCAUUUCAACCCUUAAGCCCUGUUGCUUAGCGUUGGGAGCCUACAGUACUGUAGCUCCCCAAAGUUAGUGGCGGAGUCGGUUUCACACUCUAGACGUAGUAAUUUUUUCUCGUCUGUAGUUGAGCCGGUCCCCUGCCGUAAAACACCCAAUUUAUCAAGGUUGACCUCGGAUCAGGUAGGAAUACCCGCUGAACUUAAGCAUAUCAAUAAGCGGAGGA
rnacentral:misc_RNA from 1 species